ACAUCCUGCAGGAGAAGGUGCCUGAUAAAUCCUACUGAGGUAUCAACAAAACAGACUAAAGGUUGUCACUUGAAGCCAUAGCUUUGUGGUCCCUGCGGAAGUGGAAGAGGCUCCAUUGAAGAUGUCCAUGAUGUGCGGACACAGAUGACAUUUGUAUUCAUGUCAUUACUCAGAGGAUCACAUCCUUCGGCUUCCCCUUGGUGGGGACCUCAGGGAAGAAAGUCCUUCAAAGAGGCCAUCUGUUCCCAAGAUCAAGACUGACAGCCCAAGAGGGAGAUUCUGGUGAUGGGAGAAGAGGUUAUGUGGAGAUGCCUUUGUGGAGCUGAGACGGAGAUCAAAGGAAGGGACAAAGGAGCCUCCUGAAUCCUUCGGGUAUAGGAGA